rnacentral:rRNA from 1 species
AUUACCGCGGCUGCUGGCACGUAGUUGGCCGGUCCUUCUUCUAUAGGUACCGUCACUUACGCUUCGUCCCUAUUGAAAGAGGUUUACAACCCGAAGGCCGUCAUCCCUCACGCGGCGUCGCUGCAUCAGGCUUUCGCCCAUUGUGCAAUAUUCCCCACUGCUGCCUCCCGUAGG